UGGGGUUACAGUCUCGCUUCCUCUCCAGAGUCACCUUUAAGAUUCUUCUUUCAUCUGGCUGCCUUGGACUGAGCUUGUGCCACACUCAGAAGCAGUCACUGUGGUAGCCGCAGAACUGAAAUUGUGUAAGCUCCGUUUCAAGGCCCUGAGGUCCAGACCCCUGGCUAUUCUUGACCUGCAGCAGCCUUUAACCCUUAGCUCCUGCAUCUCCAGCCUGAGCUUCCACCCAGCUGCUCUUGACCAGCUUUGUUCAUCUGCUCUUCAUGCCUUCAGUAUUAAAGUUGCCUGAAGGCUUGCAGGCCAGUAGUUCUUCUUUCUUGGACCCUGCUCUGAUGUAUCGCUCUGUCGCCCAGGCUGGAGUGCCAUGGCAGACUCACUGCAACCUCUGCCUGGCAGGUUCAAGGGAUUCUCCCGAUGCAGCCUCCCUAGUAGCUGGGACUACAGAAGAGCACCACCACUCACUCCUGGCUUACUUUUGUAUUUUUAGCAGAGACGCUGUUUAGACUUGUUGGCCUGGCUGAUCUCGAGCUCAUGACCUCAGGUGAUCCGCCUGCCUCGGCCUCUCGAAGUGCUGGGAUUACAGGCGUGAGCCACCGCGCCUGGCCGUUUCUAUUUUUCAUACCUGUUAACCAUCCCCACCUCCUCCUGAGCCUGCCACUACCCUUCCCAGCCUCCGGUAACCAUCCUUCUAUUCUAUGGGUCCAUGAGUUCAAUAUAUAUGUAUAUUCUUUUGAGACGGAGUCUCGCUCUGUCGCCCAGGCUUGAGUGCCGUGGUGCGAUCUUGGCUCACUGCAACCUGCGCCUCCCGGAUUCAUGCCAUUCUCCAGCCUCAGCCUCUUGAGUAGCUGGGAUUACAGGAGCCUGCCACCAUGCCUGGCUACUUUUUUGUAUUUUUAGUAGAGACGGGGGUUUCACCAUGUUAGCCAGGAUGGUCUGGAUCUCCUGAUCUUGUGAUCCGCCUGCCUCAGCCUCCCAAAGUGCUGUGAUUACAGGCGUGAGCCACCGUGCCUGGCCGAGUUCAAUUGUUUUAAUGUUUUGAUCCCAUAAAUAAGUGAGAACAUGUGCUGUUUUUCUUUCUGUGUCUGGCUUAUUUCACUUAACAUGAUGACCUCCAGUUGCAUCCAUUUUGUUGCAAAUGAUAAGAUCUCAUACUUUUUAAUGGCUGAAUAGUACUCAAUUGUGUAUAUGUACCACAUUUUUUUUUCUCCUUUCAUUUGUUGAUGGACACUGAGGUGCUUCCAACUGUUAGCUACUGUAAACGGUGCUGAAACAAACAUGGAGUGCAGAUAUCUCUUCCAUAUACUGAUUUAUUUUCUUUUGGAUAUAUACCCAGCAGUGGGAUUGCUGGAUCAUAUGGAAGCUCAUUUCUUAGUUUUUUGAGGUGGUUGUCCUAAUUACAUUCCUACCAACAGUGCACAGGAGUUCCCUUUUAUCCACAUCCUUGCCAGCAUUUGUUAUUGACUGUCUUUUGGACAUAAGUCAUUUGAACUGGGGUGAGAUAAUAUCUCAUUGUAAUUUUGAUUUGUGUUUCUCUGGUGAUCAAUGACAGUGAGCACCUUUUCAUAUGCCUGUUUGCCAUUUGUAUGUCUUCUUCUGAAGGGUGUCUAUUCAAAUAUUUUGCCCAUUUUUUGACUGGAUUAUUAGACUGUUUUCUCAUGUAAAUACUGAAGCCCAAACAGUUAAACAAUUAGCCCAAGGAGAAAGCUAUUAUUUGACAAACAAUAUUUUGUCUUAAUUGUUCCAAUUUUUGGCCAAGCCUGGUGGCUCACGCCUGUAAUCCAGCACUUUGGGAGGCUGAGGCGGUAGAGCACUUGAGUUCAGGAGUUCGAGACCACCCUGGCUAACAUGGUGAAACCCCAUCUCUACUAAAAAUACAAAAAUAAGCCAGGCAUGGUGGUGCGUACCGGUAAUCCCAGCUACUGGGGAGGCUGAGGCAGGAAAUUGCUUGAACCCAGGAGUCGGAGGUUGCAGUGAGCCAAGAUCGUGCCACUG
rnacentral:lncRNA from 1 species